UACGAACCGGACGAACGUUAUUCGGAAUCACUGGGCUUAAAGAGUGCGUAGGCGGCCUUGUAGGUUGGGUGUGAAAUCCCACGGCUCAACCGUGGAACUGCGCUCAAAACCACAAGGCUUGAGGAAGGCAGAGGUGAGCGGAACUGAUGGUGGAGCGGUGAAAUGCGUUGAUAUCAUCAGGAACACCAGUGGCGAAGGCGGCUCACUGGGCCUUUUCUGACGCUGAGGCACGAAAGCUAGGGGAGCGAACGGG
rnacentral:rRNA from 1 species